UUCUAAAAAGAUUUGCCAUUAAGAAAUUAAUAUGUGUUGUUAAUAUGAAUAAUUCAUGCUUUACAUACGUUUUAGUUAAAAGGAAAAUAUCGCUAAAAUGUAUUUCCUGUUCUGGCGGGGCACUUCCGGUUCCGGUCGAGCACUUCCGGUUUUGGUCAAGCGCUCGGUUUUGCUGAGAAACAGGCUCCUCAUGCUAAAGGCAGUAUGGAGAUGUAAUCUAAUGCCAUCUACUCCGAAUUAUCAGGCCGGAACGCCGUAAGUUACUUUAUAUGACAGUCUGUACAGAUAACUUUGGAUAUUAAUGUGUAUUUGCUAACAUGAAUGUUUUAUGAGAGUAAUGCACUUUAUUGAUGUAAACAUGCUUCUGCCUGUUGAGAUGGAGUUUAUUUUCUGUCAUUUCAGUUUUCACCACAUGUUCAUGGAGACAAUUAAACAAGCUGCAACUAAACUCCAGGGUCUUCAUUUGUGGUUUAACUCGGUGUCACCAACAUCCUCGUUGAAAACACUACAGACUCUAUGUGGGGAUGUGACUCUAAAGCAGGUGUCAUUUUAAUAACAUGUGUUAGAAUGCAUGCAAAAAGACAAGACAGUGCUAAAGCGGCUGUGAUCAGAUGUGAGUCCUAGUGGCUAAUGGCUAAUGCUUCUUUAUGAAGUAGAGGUGUCUGAGGAGGAUGCUUGCCUUAUGAAGCUCUCUUAUAUGAAGACCACACCAUCUUUGUGCUGUGUGGCUCAGACGACCGGGCCAUAGACCUCACUAGGUGUUAGCAGCCUGGAUUUCUGUUUAUUAUAUUUGGAAAUAAGAGCUUCAUUUUGAUUUAAUGUGAUUCCCCAUAUAUUUCAUAAAGCCUGAUGUGCUGGUGGAGUUUUGUUGGACGUGGAGAAAUACACAGGGCUGAUAUGCAGGGAAUCAUUUUCAAAAGUAGAUAUUGCCAGGUCAGUUGAUGUUGUCGAAAUUUGUUCCAGAAGCUUGUUCUCCAGGAGAUUUGGUAGCUUUAAUGCGUUCAAUGAUAUAUGAUUUACAGAGGUUUUAAGAAGCCUAUGUCAAAAAAUCUCUAGAAUACUGUGAGAAUGACUAUGCCACUUCUCAUAAGCGCUAUAUGAUUCUUCCCCGGAAUAUAAUAUGUUAAUCUUUUAUUCAUAAAGUUUUGUUUUUUGAAUAAGGAGAGCAAUGCACAUCAUAAUUUAACAUGAAUAUCUUUAUUAAUUUCUUACAUACCAUGUACUGUUUGAUUCUUUGUACUUUUGUUUCAUAUGUUGUUUGUUUAAUUUAAGACUAAAAAAAAAAAAAUUAAAUGAAUGAGAGGUAAAACUUGAGGGGGUAGGGACAAAUAAGUAAAUACUUCUGCCUACUCCUUUUCAAACAAAUAAUGGAAUGAUAUUUUGUAAUGAUUGUGAAGGCAC
ensembl:lncRNA